CGUCGUCUUUGGCGUCGCCUCGUGUUUUCUAAUCUGUGUAUUAUCUAUUCUGUGUCCCUGUCUACGCCCGCACCUCCCCUCUUGGGAUUUACAUCACUGAGCUAUACUAUACCAUAUUACUGGAGUACCUGCUCGGCAUGAAAGAGUGUCGCCGAAAACAUGGCGGCGCUUACGCCAUUUCCAUGGCAACUGGUUCGAAGUCUCCAUGGUAAUUGCCACUGACCAACCGCGAUCCGAAGCAUUAAGCAAAGUCCAGCACCCCCC